rnacentral:snRNA from 1 species
AUACUCUGGUUUCUCUUCAGAUAACAUAAACCUUUGACCCAAAAAUUUCUAUGGAGAGGAACAACUCAGAGCUUUCAACUAAUUUUUUGAGGCCUUGCCUUGGUGGGGCU